GGCGCGAUAGCUCAGGUGGUAGAGCGCGGGCCUGAAAAGCCCGGCGUCCCCCGUUCGACUCGGGGUCGCGCCA
rnacentral:tRNA from 2 species